rnacentral:rRNA from 1 species
GUGCCAGCAGCCGCGGUAAUACGUAGGGUACAAGCGUUGUCCGGAAUUAUUGGGCGUAAAGAGCUCGUAGGUGGUUUGUCGCGUCUGCUGUGGAAACGCAAGGCUCAACCUUGCGCGUGCAGUGGGUACGGGCGAACUAGAGUGCAGUAGGGGAGUCUGGAAUUCCUGGUGUAGCGGUGAAAUGCGCAGAUAUCAGGAGGAACACCGGUGGCGAAGGCGGGACUCUGGGCUGUAACUGACGCUGAGGAGCGAAAGCAUGGGGAGCGAACAGGAUUAGAUACCCUGGGUAGUCC